AAGUCGUAACAAGGUUUCCGUAGGUGAACCUGCGGAAGGAUCAUUAACAAAUUAAAGCGAAGCUGUCGUGUUAUCAUAUGAUAUAACGACGGCGCAAAGCUGAAAAACCGUGUCUCUUACGUUGUACGAGGCCGUAAACAAGUAACCUGGGGUACUCUGAAGUGGAGGCAACUCUGCUUUGGAGCCCUGCAAUAAUCCUUUUUUUUCUUACCAUUCUACCCUUUUAAACUAUAAGACUGAUAUGACAUGAUUUCAUGUCAAUUAUAAAUAUUAAAACAACUCUUAACAAUGGAUAUCUAGGCUCUG
rnacentral:misc_RNA from 1 species